rnacentral:rRNA from 1 species
ACGGGUGAGUAACGCGUAUGCAACCUGCCUAUCAGAGGAGAAUAACCCGGCGAAAGUCGGACUAAUACUCCAUAAAACAGGGGUUCCGCAUGGGACUAUUUGUUAAAGAUUAAUCGCUGAUAGAUGGGCAUGCGUUCCACUAGCUGGUUGGUGAGGUAACGGCUCACCAAGGCAACGAUGGAUAGGGGUUCUGAGAGGAAGGUCCCCCACACUGGUACUGAGACACGGACCAGACUCCUACGGGAGGCAGCAGUGAGGAAUAUUGGUCAAUGGGCGAGAGCCUGAACCAGCCAAGUCGCGUGAAGGAUGAAGGAUCUAUGGUUUGUAAACUUCUUUUAUACGGGAAUAAAGUUCAGGACGUGUCCUGUUUUGUAUGUACCGUUAUGAAUAAGCAUCGGCUAACUCCGUGCCAGCAGCCGCGGUAAUACGGAGGAUGCGAGCGUUAUCCGGAUUUAUUGGGUUUAAAGGGUGCGUAGGUGGUAGAUUAAGUCAGCGGUGAAAGUUUGUCGCUCAACGAUAAAAUUGCCGUUGAUACUGGUUUACUUGAGUAUAGUUGAAGUAGGCGGAAUGCGUGGUGUAGCGGUGAAAUGCAUAGAUAUCACGCAGAACUCCGAUUGCGAAGGCAGCUUACUAAGUUAUAACUGACACUGAAGCACGAAAGCGUGGGUAUCAAACAGGAUUAGAUACCCUGGUAGUCCACGCAGUAAACGAUGAUUACUAGCUGUUUGCGAUAUACAGUAAGUGGCACAGCGAAAGCGUUAAGUAAUCCACCUGGGGAGUACGCCGGCAACGGUGAAACUCAAAUGAAUUGACGG